rnacentral:rRNA from 1 species
CCUACGGGAGGCAGCAGUGGGGAAUAUUGGACAAUGGGCGCAAGCCUGAUCCAGCAAUGCCGCGUGAGUGAUGAAGGCCUUAGGGUCGUAAAGCUCUUUUACCAGGGAUGAUAAUGACAGUACCUGGAGAAUAAGCUCCGGCUAACUCCGUGCCAGCAGCCGCGGUAAUACGGAGGGAGCUAGCGUUGUUCGGAAUUACUGGGCGUAAAGCGUACGUAGGCGGUUAUUCAAGUCAGAGGUGAAAGCCCGGGGCUCAACCCCGGAACGGCCUUUGAAACUAGGUAGCUAGAAUCUUGGAGAGGUCAGUGGAAUUCCGAGUGUAGAGGUGAAAUUCGUAGAUAUUCGGAAGAACACCAGUGGCGAAGGCGACUGACUGGACAAGUAUUGACGCUGAGGUACGAAAGCGUGGGGAGCAAACAGGAUUAGAUACCCUGGUAGUCCACGCCGUAAACGAUGAUAACUAGCUGUCCGGGCACUUGGUGCCUGGGUGGCGCAGCUAACGCAUUAAGUUAUCCGCCUGGGGAGUACGGUCGCAAGAUUAAAACUUAAAGGAAUUGACGG